ensembl:snoRNA small nucleolar RNA, H/ACA box 19
AUGCACAUUUUAUUCUCAUGCUCUUAAUACUUUUGGGAGCCAUGAUAUAUCUUUUGUGCUAGAUCAAUAACGUUGGUAAAUUAACAGCCUAGCUUUGUUCACUAGCUAGAGCUGUCAGUCACCUUCGGAUAAUA